UUUACAUAAAUACCUUGCUGCAAACCCGUCGGUAUUUGAAGAGGUUGACUAUUAAAAAUGCAAUCGUCUCACUGGCAUCAGUUAAAGAACUUUCAGGUUCAAGAAAAUUUCCUCACAAUCAAGUUUCCAAGAAGACCGGCCACGGACAUCAACCAAGUGAGAUGAGAUACAACAAUAAAUAAUUUUCACCUGCGUCAAAUAAUCGUUCAUUCAAGGCGGUAAAGUUACUAAAACGAGAAGAGAAAGAUUCACAGUUCGUACGGCAAGCUGAAAACUGAUUUGUAAUUCAUCUGCCGCAUGUUUAUUUUACCCGAAGAUCUCAAAUACGUCAUCGACUUGGAAAAGGUUCGAAAAAAAUUCAAAUUAUUCGUGUGUUUGAGAAGACCGGCCACGACAUCAACCGACUAAGGCGAACUGGACGUUUCAUUUAAGUUCGUUGUACAAAUACUUCUCAAUCAAUGUAGAAUCAGAGCCAUCGGGCGAAAAGCAAAGGGCGCGAACAUGGAAGAUAGGACAAUACGCUUCGCUAGAGAAUUCUUCACUUGUGUGGUACUACAAAUUUCGUUUUUAAUGAUAAUCUGCUCUUUAUGGGCGUUUAUAUGAUUCAUAUAUUAAUCAGCAUAAAUAAAUUGCUGAUUAGACGUUUAUUUAACAUCAUACGGAUGUAUCGAUCCACACAGUAAUAAUUUCGUGGAUUUCUUACGAUUAAUAUUUGAAAUAGGAAAACUAACCAUAUUUUUUUCAGUAAUGCCGAAACCUUUCGAUAAUUAUUAUUACAAUGUGAUAUCUUUGUUGCUCCUUUGACCGACCAAAUUAAAGAAGGGUUUCGGUUAGGCUGCACUGAAGUAUGUAUUGUUAGUUAGAUAGCGCGUUAGGUUUUUUAUUUUUUAUUCUGGAGAUAAAACUUCAAAGUCUCCUAAA